rnacentral:lncRNA from 1 species
AAAAUGCUUAUAAAUUAAACUCAAAAGAAAAUCCAAAUAUAAGACUAAGAAGAGUGAAGAGAAUUAAGAAAAAUAUCAUGGCUAGUUUUGAUAUUCCAACAAUUGAUGUUUCUCCAUUUUUUAGAUCAGAUGAAAAUGGAGAAGGGAAAACGAAGGCUAUUGAGCAAAUUAGAGAAGCUUGUGUUAACUUUGGUUUCUUCCAAAUUGUGAAUCAUGGAAUUCCUUUGGAGUUGUUGAGCCAAACCAUGGAUAUGUAUAAGAAUUUCUUUGCUUGUUCUGAUGAAGAAAAACUCGCGGUACCUUCUGAUAAUUAUUUAAAAAGCACAAAGAAUUCAGUUGAGAACUUGGUGUUUCGUUUUCCAUUCUCUGUCGUGGAUGUCUGCCCCAACAAACUACCUCAUUUCAAGUACUAAUAUAUUCUCUCUUGAUUGCAACUCAAAUUAGUUGUUUCUAGUUUUUUGCAUUUUCAGAAUGUUGCCUAAUAAAUAUGUUUUGAUAUUGUUAGGCAAGUAUUGGAUGAUAUGAUUUCCCAGUUCACAAAAUUAGGAGUUGUGUUGGAAGGAAUCAUAAGUGAGUGUCUUGGCCUCCCUCCUGACUUCCUACCAAACUACAGAAAUGAUCGGUCUGGGGAUUCGUUGCUCGGACUCCACUAUUUACCAGUGAUGACAACAUUGGAAAACCUCCACAUGAAGAUCUUGGCUUCUUCACCAUUCUCUACCAGGAUGAAGUUAAAGGCCUUGAGGUGCUUAAAGAUGACCACUGGAUUCCCAUAGCGCCUUCCAAACACAAACUAAUUGUUAACAUUGGUGAUGUCAUUCAGGUACUUAUAACUCCACUCUUGGUUGGUUAUAGAUUUCACAUUUACCACUAUCCCAAAAUUUUAACUUUUUUUUUUUUUUAAUGUUAUUGACAUAAAUAAAAAAGGUCCUAAGCAACAAUAAAUUCAAGAGUGCAACUCACAGAGCAGUGAGCCCAAGUGAAACAGACCGUUACUCGUACGCGUUCUUCUAUAAUGUGCAAGGAGCCAAGUGGGUUGAGCCAUUACCACAAUUUACAGAGGAAAUUGGAGAGUCGCCAAAGUACAGAGGAUUCCUGUUUGAAGAAUAUCAUCAGCUGAGAAUCAAAAACAGGAGUAAUCCACCAGAUAGACCUGAAGAUCUCAUCCAUAUAACCCACUACUCAAUUUCUAAUUAGAGGACAAGUUUUAUCUAAUGAAAAGUUCUCUCUAUAUGGAAAGAAACAUAGCAAUAAUAUGUAUGUUGAAUAUGUAUCGUGACCAUCUCAAUUAAAAAUUUAAAUUGUUAGGCAGCACAUGACUGUUAUUUCUUAAUUAUGUUUAACACGUCUUUUCAAUUUAUAUCUAUCUGUGCUACAGCUGUUUGUCGUUACUAAUUUAAAAUACUCAAAUUGCAGAUACUGCGAUCUUGUUUCUUUCUUUUCCGAAUAACGUCAAGUACUACUCCUUCAUAUUGUUUACUCUAGUUUGUCCCUUUCCAUGGUUCUGCAAAGGGAGUUAAAUUAUUUGAUAUGAUUAAUAUUUAACCAUACUUAUGUGUAAUCUUGUGCUAAUAAGAUUUAGGUAUAUUACAUAAACAUGACCUUUGACUUGACGUCAGCGGACAACUAUUACCUUUAACUUUGGGUGUACACAAGUAGACACUUAAACUUUUCUUAUAAAAUUGACAAAUAAACACAUUCGUCCUACAUGGCACCCUACAUGGCAAUUUUUGUGUCCAACGUGACGGCCUACGUGUAUUAUGUCACGUAGGACACAUGUGUCUACUUGUUCUAUUUUGUAGUUUAAGUGUCUAUUUGUGCACACUCAAAGUUGGAGGGCAUAGUUGUCCGCUGAAGCCAAGUUAAGGGUCGUGUUUAUGUAUUAUGCCUAAGAUUUAUCUUAGCCAUCUCACAAAACCAAAUUAUUGAUUGAUUUUUAUCAACAUCUUGGUUGCACGAGUACUAUUGCAAGUCCACAUGGCUAUUUUUUAAGUCAAUCCAAACGGACUCUAAAUCAUCUACUAUAUAAGUAAAAAGACACCAUAAAUGAACAUAUAAUCUAUAAAACUUAAUAAAUAAUUAGCCUAUAAUAAAUACUAUAUCCAAACGCAUGGUUAAUAGUAUAUAUCUCAACACCUCUGAUCUAGUGUACUUUGCCCAUGUUCAGUGGUUCGCUGACACCGUUGUUUAAUUUUAGGCAUCCUAUAUAUGUGGCAAUUCACAUCCUACAUGGCGUUCUAUAUGUGUAAUAUGCCACAUAGGAUGAACGUGUAUUCUUGUUUAAUUUUUUAAUUAGUUUAAGUGUCUACCUGUGUACAUUCAAAGUUGGACAGUUAUCAACCGAAGCUAAAUUAAAAGACACAUUUGUGUAUUAUGCCUUUUAAAUUUAUGUCAGAGCUUUCCAGAAAUUCAAGUAUUAUUUAUAUGGCCAUAUGGGGCAGAACAGAAAUGAUUAGGGGCUAAUUAAUUUUAAAUUCUUCUUAACUAUUUUAUUUGAGUGAAUAAUUGAUACUUGUCUAUUGAGAGUGGAGAAAAUUAAGGAAGACAUGAUAGCUAGUUUUGAUAUUCCAACAAUUGAUGUUUCUCCGUUUUAUAGAUCAGAGGGAAAUGAAGAAGGGAAAAAGAAGGCUUUUGAGCAAAUGAAAGAAGCUUGUAUUAACUAUGGUUUCUUCCAGAUUGCGAAUCACGAAAUUCCUUUGGAGUUGUUGAGCAGAACGAUGGAUAUGUAUAAGACUUUUUUUGCUUCUUCAGAUGAAGAAAAACUGUUGGUACCUAAUAAUUAUUUCAAAAGCACACAGAAUCCAGCUGAGACUUAUGAGCAUUUUGUGUUUCGUCUUUCAUCCUCUGUCGUCAAUGUCUGCCCCAAAAAUCCACCUCAUUUCAAGUAAUUCUUUAUUUUAUUUACGGUAUAUUGUAUCUGAAAUUGCAGUUGUUUGUGAAAUAAAUAUGUUUUUUUGCCUUAGGGAAUUAUUGGAGGAGAUGGCUUCGCAUUUCAAAAAAUUAGGAGUUGUGUUGGAAGGAAUCAUAAGUGAGUGUGUGGGGCUCCCUCCUAACUUCCUAACAAACUAUAAAAAUGAUGAGUCUCGGGAUACCUUGAUCGGCCUCCACUACUUUCCAGCUACAGAAAACGACAACACAGGAAAAACUGCACACGAAGAUCCUGGCUGCUUCACCGUUGUCUACCAGGAUGAAAUCGGAGGCCUUGAGGUGCACAAAGAUGACCAGUGGAUACCCAUAGCGCCUUCCAAAGACAAACUAGUUGUUAACAUUGGAGAUGUUAUUCAGGUAAUUAUUGUUCCGCACCGCUGCUCACAGUUAUCAUCCAAAAAUUUGAAGAAUCUUUUCUUUUAUGUCGAAGGUGCUAAGCAACAAUAGAUUCAAGAGUGCAACUCACAGAGUGGUGAGACCAAGAGAAGCAAACCGUUACUCGUGCACUUUCUUCUAUAACGUGCAAGGAGACAAGUGGGUUGAGCCAUUACCACAGUUUACAGAGGAAAUUGGAGAGUCGCCCAAGUACAGAGGAUUCCUCUUCGGAGAAUAUAUGCAGUUGAGAAUCAAAAACAUGACUCAUCCACCAGCUAGACCUCAAGAUCUCAUCCAUAUAACACACUACUCAAUUUCUAUGUCAUGAAAUGUUUUCUCUUUAUAUGGCAAGAAACAUAGCAAGAAAAAUAAUAUGUGUAUGCAGUUGUUGUUUUCUUUCUUUCUUUCUUUUUUUCUUUUCCGAAUAACGUCAACUACUCCUUUCAUAUUGUUUACUCUUGUUAAAAUUUUAAAUUGUUAAAGAGCAUACAAUUAUUUUAUUAAUUAUGUUAAACACGUACAAGCCUGAUUCAUAGAAUCCUCUAUGUGUCUUGCUGCUGUCAAUUUGAAAUACUGCACAUCUUAUUUCUUCUCCGAAUAACACGUCGGUCAAGUACUACUCCUUCAUAUUGUUUACUUUAGUUUGUCCCUUUCUAUGGUUCGGCAAAGGGAGUUAAAUUAUUUGAUUGGAUUAGUCCUUAACCAUAUUUAGUGGCGGUAGAGAAGAUUAGGAAAGUGACACUUUACGAAACCCUAAGCUUAAGGAAAGUUUUAUAGGGAAGGAAUUCGGGAACUUGCCCGAAAUGGGCCCUAUCUUGUUUAUAUGCUUAUUUGUUAAUUGGAUUUGGACAUUAGGUCCAAAUGAGUGAUGUAAUUGUUCUCUUUCAUAUCAAUAAAGCUGAAAAAUUUAAACUAAAAUAAAAUAAUAAAAAUACUAGGUAUCUCCCCUUUCUUUCUAAGAUUAAGAGAUGAAAACUAUGAGAGAAUUGAUAAACGAAGCAUGUUGUCGAUAUGGAUUUGACUAUUUUUACCAAAUUAUCAAUUAAUAUCGUCAUACAGUUUAAGAAGAAGACGGGAGGUGAGAGGCAUUAAUUUAAAAAAUAAUAAUUUAUUCUUUUGUUAAAUUUAAUUAGAGUUUUUUAAAAAUUGGAUCCAAGCGCUUCAUGUUAUCAUUUCAUUGGUCCACCUGCUAUGUGUACACAAUUUAUUAUUUUAUGUCUAAUAGAUAUAAACUUUUUAAGAUUAAAGUGGUAAAUGAAAUAUUAAGGGCACAUAUGACUUAAUUUUUGAGUUUUUUAAAAAAUUAUGACAAAGCUAGCAAUCCAGAAACAGAAAAUCAAUAGUUGACUUCAGUUUUGCUUUAUAAAGAGGUUAAGAACAUCAUUGAGAGUCAAGAGAAUCAACAUGGCUAAUUUUGAUAUUCCAACAAUUGAUGUUUCUCCAUUUAUUAGAUCAGAGGAAAAUGAAGAAGGGAAAAAGAAGUCUAUUGAACAAAUGAGAGAAGCUUGUGUUAACUAUGGUUUCUUCCAAAUUGCGAAUCACGGAAUUCCUUUGGAGUUGUUGAGCAGAAUCAUGGAUAUGUACAAGACUUUCUUUGCUUCUUCAGAUGAAGAAAAACUAUCGGUACCUUCUGAUACUUAUUUCAAAAGCACAAAGAAAUCAGCUGGGACUUAUGAGCAGCUAUUGUUUCAUCUUUCAUCCUCCGGCUUCAAUGUCUGCCCCGAAAAUCCACCUCAUUUCAAGUAAUAUUUUACUAAUUUAUUUCCGUUUAUAGCCCUAUUCUCUUUUGAUUGGAAAUUGUUUCUAGUUUAAGUGAUUCCCUGUUAUGGUGAUUUCACUUAAAUGAUAAGGUAGGAAUGUUGUUUGUGAAAUAAAUAUGUUUUGAUAUUCUUAGGCAAGUAUUGGAGGAGAUGGCUUCGCAUUUCACAAAAUUAGGAUUUGUAUUGGGGAGAAUCAUAAGUGAGUGUCUGGGCCUCCCUCCUAACUUCCUAGCAAACUACAGAAAUGAUCAGGCUAGGGAUUUCUUGCUCGGCAUCCACUACAGUCCAGCGACAGAAGCUGAGAACGUAGGAAAAUCCGCACACAAAGAUCCUGGCUGCAUCACCAUUCUCUACCAGGCUGAAGUCGGAGGUCUUCAGGUUCACAAAGAUGAACAGUGGAUUCCCAUAGCGCCUUCGAAAGACAAACUAGUAGUUAAUAUUGGUGAUGUCAUUCAGGUAAUUAUAGUUUGGUUAUUCCAAGAGUUUGAUGUCACAGUUAUCAUUUUCCCAAAAUUUUCGAGGAGUCAACAUUUUUAUUUUGUGUUGACAUAUUAAAAAGGUGCUAAGCAACAAUAAAUUCAAGAGUGCAUCGCACAGGGUGAUCAGACCAAGAGAAACAAACCGUUACUCGUGUGCUUUCUUCUAUAACGUGCAAGGAGACAAGUGGGUUGAGCCAUUACCACAAUGCACCAAGGAAAUUGGAGAAUCGCCCAAGUACAGAGGAUUCCUCUUUAAAGAAUAUGUGCAGUUGAGACAGAGAGACGAGACUCAUCCACCAGCUAGACCUGAAGAUCAAUUCAAUAUAACCCACUACUCAAUUUUCUAAUUAGAGGACAAGUCUAUAUGGAAAGAAACAUAGCAUUAAUAUGUAUGUCAAAGUGUGUGAUUAUCUCAUUUAAACUGUUACUGGGGACACAAUUAUUUUCUUAAUUAUGUUAACACGUCUUUGAUCGUACAAGCCUGAUUCUUUGAAGAGGAAUCCUCAAUGCACUGUUUGUUGUUACUGAUUUAAAAUAAUCAAAUUGCAGACUUGUUUGUUUCUUUCCUUUUUUCUUUUCUGAAUAAUGUCAAGUACUCCUUUCAUAUUGUUUACUCUAGUUUUAGACACCAAUGCAUAUUACCUAAUGGCUAAUAACAUUAAAAAUAAGAAAACAAAAGGCUAUUAAUUUGCCGAUCAGGUGGGCAGGCACAUUAUGAUUUUUUAUUGGUUUUGGAAUUUUGGAUCAGAGUUUGCUGAUCUGUUGUAUUUUGAUAAUUGGUUACCUUGAUUCGAUAAGAUAUGCUUACUGGCUUUUGAAUUUUUUUAAAUUUUUUGGCUUUUGGAAUUUUGGAUCAAGACAUGAACAGACAGGCAAUGGAAAAUGACAUCCAGCGACCAAAAAAAACAAAAAGAACACAUGUCAUAAAUCUAAAUUAAUGGUUGAGAUUUAAUCACUUGAAUCUCUUGUCCAAAUAAGAACUUGGAGAAAUGAAGAGAUGCCAAAUUUAACUAACUUCAACACCAGAAAAUGCUUAUAAAAUAAACUCAAAAGAACAUCCAAAUAUAAGACGAAGAACGACAUUGAAGAGAAAAUUAAGGAAAACAUCAAUAUGGCAAGUUUUGAUAUUCCAACAAUUGAUGUUUCUCCAUUUUUUAAAUCAGAGGAAAAUGAAGAAGGGAAAAAGAAGGCUAUGGAGCAAAUUAAAGAAGCUUGCGUUAACUAUGGUUUCUUUCAGAUUGUGAAUCACGGAAUUCCUUCAGACUUGUUGAGUAGAACCAUCGAUAUGUACAAAACUUUCUUUGCCUGUUCGGAUGAAGAAAAGCUGUCGGUACCUGAUAAUUAUUUAAAAAGCAC